UACGUAGGGUGCAAGCGUUGUCCGGAUUUAUUGGGCGUAAAGAGCUCGUAGGCGGCUUGUCGCGUCGACUGUGAAAACUCGGGGCUCAACUCCGAGCUUGCAGUCGAUACGGGCAGGCUAGAGUUCGGUAGGGGAGACUGGAAUUCCUGGUGUAGCGGUGAAAUGCGCAGAUAUCAGGAGGAACACCGGUGGCGAAGGCGGGUCUCUGGGCCGAUACUGACGCUGAGGAGCGAAAGCGUGGGGAGCGAACAGG
rnacentral:rRNA from 1 species